rnacentral:rRNA from 1 species
GGACUACUGGGGUUUCUAAUCCUGUUUGAUCCCCACGCUUUCGUGCAUCAGUGUCAAUAUUCGUGUAGCCAGCUGCCUUCGCAAUUGGUGUUCUAUGUCAUAUCUAAGCAUUUCACCGCUACAUGACAUAUUCCGCUGACCUCCACGGUAUUCAAGACAGAUAGUAUCAAUGGCAGUUUCCGAGUUAAGCCCGGAGAUUUCACCACUGACUUACCUGCCCACCUACGCACCCUUUAAACCCAGUGAAUCCGGAUAACGCUUGCACCCUCCGUAUUACCGCGGCUGCUGGCAC